rnacentral:rRNA from 1 species
GAUGAACGCUGGCGGCGUGCCUAAUACAUGCAAGUAGAACGCUGAAGGAGGAGCUUGCUCUUUCCGGAUGAGUUGCGAACGGGUGAGUAACGCGUAGGUAACCUGCCUGGUAGCGGGGGAUAACUAUUGGAAACGAUAGCUAAUACCGCAUAACAGUAGAUAUCGCAUGAUAUUUGCUUGAAAGGGGCAAUUGCUCCACUACCAGAUGGACCUGCGUUGUAUUAGCUAGUUGGUGAGGUAACGGCUCACCAAGGCGACGAUACAUAGCCGACCUGAGAGGGUGAUCGGCCACACUGGGACUGAGACACGGCCCAGACUCCUACGAGAGGCAGCAGUAGGGAAUCUUCGGCAAUGGACGGAAGUCUGACCGAGCAACGCCGCGUGAGUGAAGAAGGUUUUCGGAUCGUAAAGCUCUGUUGUAAGAGAAGAACGAGUGUGAGAGUGGAAAGUUCACACUGUGACGGUAUCUUACCAGAAAGGGACGGCUAACUACGUG